ACAAUGGAGUGAAGUGCAACAGAA
rnacentral:miRNA from 2 species